UACAGAGGGGGCAAGCGUUGUUCGGAAUUACUGGGCGUAAAGGGCGCGUAGGCGGCCUUCUAAGUCGAACGUGAAAUCCCCGGGCUCAACCCGGGAACUGCGUCCGAUACUGGAAGGCUUGAAUCCGGGUGAGGGAUGCGGAAUUCCAGGUGUAGCGGUGAAAUGCGUAGAUAUCGGGAGGAACACCAGUGGCGAAGGCGGGCACCUGGGCUAACACUGACGCUGAUGCGCGAAAGCGUGGGGAGCGAACAGG
rnacentral:rRNA from 1 species